CCUACGGGACGCAGCAGUGGGGGAUAUUGCACAAUGGGGGAAACCCUGAUGCAGCGACGCCGCGUGAGUGAAGAAGUAUUUCGGUAUGUAAAGCUCUAUCGGCAGGGAAGAAAAAGCGCGCGAGCGCCCUUGACAGUACCUGACUAAGAAGCCCCGGCUAACUACGUGCCAGCAGCCGCGGUAAUACGUAGGGGGCAAGCGUUAUCCGGAUUCACUGGGCGUAAAGGGAGCGCAGGCGGCAUGGCAAGUCUGAUGUGAAAACCCGGGGCCCAACCCCGGGGGUGCAUUGGAAACUGCCAGGCUGG
rnacentral:rRNA from 1 species